rnacentral:rRNA from 1 species
ACGGGUGAGUAAUGUCUGGGGAUCUGCCCGAUAGAGGGGGAUAACCACUGGAAACGGUGGCUAAUACCGCAUAACGUCGCAAGACCAAAGAGGGGGACCUUCGGGCCUCUCACUAUCGGAUGAACCCAGAUGGGAUUAGCUAGUAGGCGGGGUAACGGCCCACCUAGGCGACGAUCCCUAGCUGGUCUGAGAGGAUGACCAGCCACACUGGAACUGAGACACGGUCCAGACUCCUACGGGAGGCAGCAGUGGGGAAUAUUGCACAAUGGGCGCAAGCCUGAUGCAGCCAUGCCGCGUGUAUGAAGAAGGCCUUCGGGUUGUAAAGUACUUUCAGCGGGGAGGAAGGCGAUGUGGUUAAUAACCUUGUCGAUUGACGUUACCCGCAGAAGAAGCACCGGCUAACUCCGUGCCAGCAGCCGCGGUAAUACGGAGGGUGCAAGCGUUAAUCGGAAUUACUGGGCGUAAAGCGCACGCAGGCGGUCUGUUAAGUCAGAUGUGAAAUCCCCGGGCUUAACCUGGGAACUGCAUUUGAAACUGGCAGGCUUGAGUCUCGUAGAGGGGGGUAGAAUUCCAGGUGUA